UUUACUCCUUUGAGAGACUGGUAGCUUUUUGGUAACGUCCACAAGUUUUGCAUCUAACAUUUUAAAAUGGAGAAAAUAAACAUCACAGCAGAGACAGAAGUUUCUUCUGAUAAAUCAUCUUGUAAUGAACCAGCUAAUCCCAAGUGUAAUCAAUGUGGGAAGAUGCUUAAUCAAGAAAGAGAAAUGGAUUCCAUCCUUUCACUGGAUGAGGCACAUCAGGAACUGAAGGUCAAGUUGGAAGAAAAGGACCAAAUGUUGAAGCUAAAGGAAGAGGAAAUCACUUACCUUACAUUUUUACUGGAUGAGAUGGAAAAAGAAUUAGACGUGAAAAACAGCCAGUGGGAGGACAGCCUUAAACUUAAACUGGAGGAGCUACGUGAGAAGGUCCAGGCUCAGAAGAAGCAGUUGGAUGAAGUAAAGGCUGCUUUGUUGGACAUUAAAAACGAGCUUCAGAAGAAGGAACAAAUGUUCUUAAAGCAGAAAGAUAAACAACAAAAAACGAUUUCACAUUUGAAGGCCACUCUGAAAAUGAAGGAGGAGGACCUAAAAAGCCGCACAGACCAAUGGAACCAACUGGAGGAGAAUGAAAAAGCUGUGAAAGCGAUCACAGAAAAGGAAGCUCUCUGCAAUAAUGAGAACCAGUCAACACAAACGCAGGUACUACAGACUGCCCUGGAUGAAGCACAGAAAAAAAUUGUGGAAAUGGAAGAGGAGCGGUCCAACCACAUCAAGACUAUGUCCAUCAUGAAGGCCACGCUCACUGAAACACAGGAAGCCUUCACCAAAUUGCAAGCCACAAUUCAGGAGCAGAAGCAGGAGAAGGAGAAAGAGAAGAAGCAGAAGCAGGGGAAGGAGGAAGAGAAGGAGAAGGAGGAGAAGAAGGAGAAGGAGGAAGCAAAUGAGAAGGAGGAGAAGAAGGAGAAGGAGCAAAAGAAGGAGAAGAGGCAGAAGCACGGGAAGGAGGAAGCAAAGGAGGAGGAGGAGAAGAAGGAGAAGGAGCAAAAGAAUGAGAAGAGGCAGAAGCAUGGGAAGGACGAAGUGAAGGAGGUGGAGGAGAAGAAGGAGAAGGAGCAAAAGAAGGAGAAGAGGCAGAAGCAGGGGAAGGAGGAAGCAAAGGAGGAGGAGGAGAAGAAGGAGAAGGAGCAAAAGAAGGAGAAGAGGCAGAAGCAGGGGAAGGAGGAAGUGAAGGAGGUGGAGGAGAAGAAGGAGAAGGAGCAAAAGAAGGAGAAGAGGCAGAAGCAGGGGCAGGAGGAAGAGAAGGAGAAGGAGAAGAAGAAGGAGAAGGAGAAGAAGAAGGAGAAGGAGAAGGAGAAGAAGAAAGACAAGGAGCAAAAGAAGGAGAAGGCAGCUUCUAAUGACAACCCGAUAAAGAAAUGGUUCAAAAACCUGUUUAGAACCAAAAGAAAAUAAGGAUGGUGCUGCAGAUGGAUGAUGUGAACAGUAACUGGUGUAACAACGUGACAGUGAUCCUUCAGCACUGCUCUCCUCAGAACAACCAGAAUAUCGGCGCAUGUUUGUGUCAAACUUACGUGUCCUGAUGUCAUUCCAUUCAUCUGAAUUUGGACCGAGGACCUCCUGUGUGUCACUGAAGGGAU
ensembl:lncRNA protein PXR1-like